rnacentral:rRNA from 1 species
GACGAACGCUGGCGGCGUGCCUAACACAUGCAAGUCGUGCGGGAACCUCAGGAGGGGUAACCCUCUUGAGGGGAGAGCGGCGAACGGGUGAGUAACACGUGGGCAACCUGCCCCGGACACCGGGAUAACCCAGGGAAACUUGAGCUAAUACCGGAUACUCCGGCGUGAUCGCAUGGUCGUGCUGGGAAAGCUCCGACGGUCCGGGAUGGGCCCGAGGCCUAUCAGCUUGUUGGUGGGGGAACGGCCCACCAAGGCGACGACGGGUAGCUGGUCUGAGAGGACGGGCAGCCACACUGGUACUGAGACGCGGCCCAGACUCUUACGGGAGGCAGCAGGGGGGGAUCUUGCGCUAAUGCGCGAAAGCGUGACGCAGCGACGCCGCGUGGGGGAUGAAGGCCCUCGGGUUGUAAACCCCUUUCGGCAGGGACGAAGUGAGAGUGACGGUACCUGCAGAAGAAGUCCCGGCUAACUACGUGCCAGCAGCCGCAGUAA